rnacentral:rRNA from 1 species
UACAGAGGUCUCGAGCGUUAGGCGGAAUCACUGGGCUUAAAGCGUGUGGUAGGCGGGGUCGUUAACGUGCCCUUGUGAAAUCCCAUGGCUCAACCAUGGAACUGCGUGGGCAUACUGGCGAUCUUGUGCAACCUAGGGGCGAGCGGAACAGAUGGUGGAGCGGUGAAAUGCGUAGAUAUGUGGAGGAACACCUGUGGCGAAAGGCGCCGUUGCUGGGCCAAUUUCUGACGCUGAGGCGCGAAAGCGUGGGGAGCAAACAGG